GGGCGCCAGGCAGGGCCUGUCCCGCCUGGGGAGACUGCGCCCGGGAUAAUAGGAGCGCUUGGCCUCUGAGACUACCCGGCAGAAGGGACGUCCCCAAAUGACACUCGGAGGCCGCCUCCCUGGGCUCCGGUGCUCGGUGCCGGGAGGAGCGGCACGGCUUUCUACCCCGCCUCAGGUGCGCCAGCACGUUUUCUGGGCAGCAUCUGUGUGUUAGGCGACCGGAGAGGUGGGUUCCUUAUAGGGAAUAAGAAAACUGAAACUGACUUCCAACUGCAGGCAGAAGGAAGCAGUGGUCAUUGCUGGAGGUUAAAACUGUUCUGACCGGGCGCAGUGGCUCACGCCUGUAUUCCCAGCACUUUGGGAGGCUGAGGCGAGCAGAUCACGAAGUCAGGAGAUCAAGACCAUCCUGGCCAACAAGGUGAAACCCCGGCUCUACUAAAAAUACAAAAAUUAGCUGGGCGUGGUGGCGCGCGCCGGAAGUCCCAGCUACUUGGGAGGAUGAGGCAGAAGAAUCGCUUGAACCCGGGAGGCGGAGGUUGCGGUGAGCCGAGAUCGCGCCAUUGCACUCCAGCCUGGCGACUCAGCGAUACUCCGUCCCCCUCUCCCCGCCCCAAGAAAAAUCUGUUCAGUGGGGAGCGACAAGGAAGGAGCUUUCAGCCCGACUGGGGUCGCAGGGAAGAAUUCAAGAUGGCGUGUUUAGGAGCUCUAGCUCCUUGACAAAUUAGUAAAAUGUUAGUCUUAGGAGAAGAACGAAAAGGCUCUCCUAGGCUAAGAAACAGCAUACACAGUGAGAAACCUCAGAAGAAAUAAAAUUCAAGGAAGAUAGCAACAACGAAAACAUCAGAAGGAACACUAAAGUAGUCAAAUCAGCCUAGCAGAAACAAAGUACGUUAACCAAUGGAAAACUGACGGAGAGAAAUAAACUGUUUUUGCACAGCUAAAUGGAAAUGACUUUUGAAUUAUCUGCUUUGGAAGAUUAUCCAUGACACUGUUCUGCCCUGCUCUGCUCUAACAACAUUUGUAAGUCACUCAACAGUUAAUAAUAAAAGUCAGUUUUGAAUAUUGCAGGUUUUAGACACAGAACAAAUGUAAUGUGACACUGUAGGAAGAAUGAAUUCUCCUUAGUCCCAAAUUCCUUUUUUUUUUCUUAGAUUCGGGAAUAAGUAAAGAUACAAGAUCCUCUUAACCAGUAUCAGUAUAAUUGUUCCCUUUAGAUUUAUUGCUGUCACCCCAAUGCUCUUCUUUCUUUCUAGAGGAAAGGAAAAGAAGGAGGUAAUAGGAAAAGUAAUGGGUUGUCCUGAUGUUACUGUGUCUAGGAUGUCAUUGCCACUGGUCUCCUCAGAUCAAUCAUUCUGCCUAAUAAACAGAAAAAUAACAUGGGCAGCCUCACAUGCAAGCCUUUACACACACUGCUAAAGAGACCUCGCUUCCUCUGAGAAGUGAGGAUGUGAGAAUGAAGGAUUGAUUUUACAGAACUGGAUGACAGGUUAAAUUGGGCAUCUGGAGGUUUAUAUUCCCAUCUCCACUCACCAAGUUUCAUCCUCCAUUUAUGACCAAGGAUAGGUAUAACAUCUGAUCUUGAUGGUUACUGUUUCAAAAAACAAUCUGAUCUUUUUUAUAAAGUUAAACAUUUACUUAAUCAUGCAGCAUACUAAUUCCCACUCCUGGGUAUUUAUCCGAGUGACAUAAAAACAAGUUCACACAAAACCUGUAAACACAUAUAUGUCUUUAUUCAUAUAAUAGAAAAAACACAAACCCUAAAAUGGAAAAAACAUAAUGUCCUUCACCUGGUGAUAUGGUUUGGUUCUGUGUCCCCACCCAAAUCUCAUCUCAAAUUGUAAUACCCACGUGUUGAAGGAAGGACCUAUAACCUUCACGUGUCAAGGGAGGGAAGUGAUUGGAUGAUGGGGGCGGUUUCCCCCAUGCUGUUCUUGUGAUGGUGCAUGAAUUCUCACCAGAGAUGAUGGUUUUAAAAGUGUUUGGCAGUUCUUCCUUCAUUCACACACACUCACUGUCUCUCCCCUGUGCCACAUAAGAUGAGCUUGCUUCCCUUCUACCAUAACUGUAAGUUUCUGAAGUCCUCCCCAGCCAUGCAGAACUAUAAGUAAAUUAAACCUCUUUUCUUUAUAAAUUACCUAGUCUCAGGUAUGUCUUUAUAGCAGUGUGAAAAUAGGCUAAUACAUCUGGUGAAUCAAUAAUUAAAAUGUAGCAUAGCUAUAAAUGGAAUACUACUCAGUAAUAAAAGAAUAACUCGAUACAUACAAUAAUAUUGAUGAAUCUCAAAUGCAUUAUGGGAAGUAAAAGAAGCCAGGCUCCACUUAUGUGACAUUCUGGAAAAAGGAAGACUAUACGGUCAGAAAACAGAUCAGUGUUUGCCAGGACUUGGGGGUGGGGGGUGGGGAGUGAUUGACUACAAAAGGGCAUGAAGAAAUUUUGAAGGGGAGGUAUGGAACAGGUCUGUAUCUUGACUGCAGUGGAGUUAUUGAUACUUACCAAACUGUACAAUAAAAAGUAAAUUUUUAUUGUAUGAAAAUUAUGCCUAAAUUAAAAACUAUUAAUAAAAUCAGCAUUAGCAAAAUAUAUGAGUUUAUACACAAGAGACUACUCAACCAUUGGGUAAACUAAUUAUUUUUAAACAAAUACCAUUGAUUUUAAUCUUUUUAUAGUUUUUAUACAGGCAGAGAAAUAAUAGUGAUUCUGCUCACCUAAAGGAAGAUAGACCCAAUUCAAAGGUACAGAAUUUUCCCCAAAUAGUAUCAUAAUUUUUCCUUUCAGAUUCCAAAGGAUUUGCAUGUAAAUUCUAUCAUGUGAUCCUCAGAACCACCCUAUGAGGGUAAGCAGAACAGAUGAUCCAUGAUAUUCCAUUUUAUAAAUGAGGUGCAGGUUAAAUAUUUAGCCAGUAUUUCUUGAUAAGUAUAGUCCAUUUAUUUCAACAAACCUUGAUUGAGGGCCCCAAUACUUGUUGAGCUUUUGCUGAGCCACCCCUGCUCUAGAGGAGCACAUGCUCUGGAAAUCUCUAAGGAAACUACUACAACUCUAAAUAGAUAUGGUGUAUAGUGAUACUGUGACUAAAUAUUCACUGCAAAUUUCCUCUAAAAUUAUAGAUAUACAUUACUGGAAUAAUUAGUAUCUCAACAUCUUCAUUAACUAUGAAUCUACUAUGUAUAUAUCAUCACCAUGUGAGUAUUAAUUUGGUACAAAUAGGCUGCCAACUCUAAAAUUAUUUGAUGUAGG
rnacentral:lncRNA from 1 species